rnacentral:rRNA from 1 species
AGCAGCCGCGGUAAUUCCAGCUCCAAUAGCGUAUAUUAAAGUUGCUGCAGUUAAAAAGCUCGUAGUUGAAUUUCGGGAUCGAUAUAUCGGUCGUGCCUCGGUACGUACUGGUAUUUUCGGUUUCUCCCUUUUGACGAACCUUGAUGUCAUUAAUUUGGUGUCUUGGGGAAUCAGGACUGUUACUUUGAAAAAAUUUAGAGUGUUUAAAGCAGGCUCACGCUUGAAUACAUUAGCAUGGAAUAAUGAAAUAGGACGUUUGAUUCUAUUUUGUUGGUUUCUAGGAUCGACGUAAUGAUUAAUAGGGAUAGUUGGGGGCGAUUAGUAUUCAAUUGUCAGAGGUGAAAUUCUUGGAUUUAUUGAAGACUAACUACUGCGAAAGCAUUUGCCAAGGAUGUUUUCAUUAAUCAAGAACGAAAGUUAGGGGAUCGAAGACGAUCAGAUACCGUCGUAGUCUUAACCAUAAACUAUGCCGACUAGGGAUCGGAUGAUGUUAAUUUUUUAAUGACUCAUUCGGCGCCUU